CACCCUCCUCCUCACUGCCCAUCAACACCGCUCCUCCCAUCCCUCAAUGCAUCCUUCCCGGGCUCCUCCCUGGUGCCCUGCCUGUCACUCGGCGCCCCCUCCCUUCCCUCUAGAAAGUUCCAGCUGGGGCGUCGGGUGAUUGGCUCAGGGGCCAGGUUUCUGCCCCCCCAUGUUCCCUUAUUGGAUGUUCCUCAUUGUCACUCCCUCAGAGGCCGAACCCCUCUCUGCUCCCCAUUGGCCCAAGGACUGUCUCCACCCUCAUUUCUGGUGCCCCUCAAAGGCUGGUGUAAGCCGGAUUUGUGCUUUGUCUCCAGCUGUAGCAGCACAACACAGCAACCCUAACAGCGAGACCAGAGCGGAACCCUCCUGGUGGGACAAGACAGCAAUCCUCUCACCAGGACAACAACAGAACUCUCAGCAGACAACAAGAUCUACUGCAAAAAGGUGAGUUUUGCUGUAUGCUACACUGAGCCCAGUGAGAAGAAGAGGGGGGCACUGUGCCCUUUUUGCAACUGUAGUCUUGGAAGCUGUUCCCACCUCUCGGCCUGGCUGGACUUCUCCUUAGAUUUGGAGUGGUCCCCCACAGAAGACCCUUCUCACUGGUUUGCAACUACUGUGACAGACAGACUGAAAUGUGAGAAGCCUCUCCAUCUAAGACCAAGACGUGAAACCCCCUAUGUGAAAAGGCCCCCUCGCUCUUUCCAAGGACUGUGACUGAAACCCCUAACCCAGGGGAGGUGUGUGGGGGAGGCAAGCUAACCAAAACGAGAUGUUUGCCUUCAGGUUGUGACCACUGGACCAAGAAGACAGUGGCUCUCGCUUACUGCUGAGAACAUGGGCUACCUGUGUCAUGGUUUGAGGGGAAAUGGUUUUUUUGGGAUGGUGUGGUCAUGCCAGUCGGUGUCCAGAUUUUAAUAUUGGCACCUGGUUUGUCCACUGAGGGCAUAGAUACACCGCUGAGAACACAGGGGGUUAAAAGCUGUGAACUCCCAGGGGAAGUUCCUUUUGAGUUCCGGCUCUGGACGAGAGGAGACCUCUCCCCUGUCCAGCUCUGAGCUGGGCAGGGGGUAGGGGAGCCAUGGGAGGUAGGCCAGGCCGAAGGGAGGUAGGCCAGGCCUGGGCCGAAGGGUGGAGGAGCAUUGCACUGCGAGGGCUUCGGGCAGCCAUCCCCCAUUCCCCCCCCGGAGGAAGAGAGAGAGAGCAGACUGUGCUUGUGAUAGCGCGGCUGGAGUGAAGGAGAAGGGCGGGGUGCCCAGCAAGGCAGCCAGCCGUGGGAGUUCAUGAACCAAACUGGCAGAGCCUGGGACUUUUAACCCUUCUUGGGAUGAUGGAAACCUUGCAAAUGCUGAUUCCUCCUGGAGUUGGUGAGAUUGAGAGAAGUUGAGAAGAAUUCUAGGUGGGAGGAGAUGAUGGAGUGGCUUUUGGCUGGACUUUUCUUGGAUAGCUAUGGACAGAACCCUUGAGUUCCUGUGACACAGAGACUGCAUCCUAGGGGGAGGCAAUGGCUCAGAGCCAGGAGAGUGCGGUGAUGUGAAGGUGUGUGAACAGAGACGAUGGGUGAGGAGGGUGGUGGUGGUGCCCUCCGUCUUCGAAGAAGAAGAAGAGGAAGAUGAUCUCUGUUCAAGAGACCCCUCAGCCCCAGGGGGUGAAACAUGGGGGGGACAGGUGUCCCAAAAGGAAAGGGACUGUGCUCUUUUUUGGAACUGGACAAAGCAUCCUUAAAGGGAAAAAACCCUAGAAGCAGCUCUGGUCCAUAUGCAGUGGUGAGAGCACUGGACGUGGAAGGAAGAGGUCACGAUGGCAAAAUGUUCUCCGGGCGGUGCCACACGUGACACAGAAACACGAGAAGUUUCGACUGUUUCCUGGGUGAAGUCUGUGGUGCAAGAGGGACUCCUCUCUUCUCAAAGAAUUGAGAAUUGAUUAUCCAGAGGGUGGUAACGAAAUUAGGAAAUUUGGUGGGGGGAGGAGGAGGAAAUUUGGAAGGUUUUCAUCCCGUGUUCUGUGUGUUUUUUCCCUGUAGUUUUAUGUUAAUAAAGUUUUUUUUUCUUUCAGUCGUAA